GGGGGGAGUGCUGGAUCCUGGCCUGUGUCCCCCUGCCUCCUGGGCUCCCGGGCCUGUGCUGCUGUAAUCGCGGUCCCUUGCCACGCAGCUCCCU
rnacentral:pre_miRNA from 1 species